UACGUAGGGGGCAAGCGUUGUCCGGAAUCAUUGGGCGUAAAGAGCGUGUAGGCGGUCCGGUAAGUCGGCUGUGAAAGUCCAGGGCUCAACCCUGGGAUGCCGGUCGAUACUGCCGGACUAGAGUUCGGAAGAGGCGAGUGGAAUUCCCGGUGUAGCGGUGAAAUGCGCAGAUAUCGGGAGGAACACCUAUGGCGAAGGCAGCUCGCUGGGACGUUACUGACGCUGAGAACGGCGAAAGCCAGGGGAGGCAAACGGG
rnacentral:rRNA from 1 species